rfam:Gossypium hirsutum cultivar TM-1 chromosome 25, whole genome shotgun sequence
AGUUCGUGAUAUGGGCACUUCCUUAGCAUAAUAUUAAAACGCUUUCAAGCCUCGUACAAGGAUUCACCUUCAAAUUGUUUAAAAUUGGUGAUUUCUCACCUCAACU